GCGCUCACCUCAGCUGCACGUACCCUAAAACUGGAACGACACAGAGAAGAUUGAGCACAGCCUCUGCACAAGGUGACCCACAAAUUUGUGACGCGUUCCAUAUCUUU